rnacentral:rRNA from 1 species
UACGGAGGGUGCGAGCGUUAUCCGGAUUCACUGGGUUUAAAGGGUGCGUAGGUGGGUUGGUAAGUCAGUGGUGAAAUCCUCGAGCUUAACUCGAGAACUGCCGUUGAUACUACCAGUCUUGAAUUCUGUGGAGGUAAGCGGAAUAUGUCAUGUAGCGGUGAAAUGCUUAGAUAUGACAUAGAACACCGAUAGCGAAGGCAGCUUACUACGCAGAUAUUGACACUGAGGCACGAAAGCGUGGGGAUCAAACAGG